AAUUUGUUAAAAUAAUUAUUUACAUGUAAAUAGAUUUUUAAAAAUUUUUAAAAAAAAUUUUAAUUACUUUAUUAUUCACAGUAAUUAAUAUUAAUAAUAAAUAAAAUUUUGAUUUAGAAAUUAUUUUUAGUAUUGGUAAAAUUUGUGCCAGCAAUCGCGGUUAUACAAAUAAUACGAAUAAAUUUUAUUGAUUUUAGUUAAAUGUUUAGUAAUAAAAAAAAUUAAAAUAAUAUUUUAUAGGUGAAAUUUUAAAAUAUUUAUUAAUUUUUAUUUAUUUUUUUAAAGCUAAAAAAUUUUAAAUUAUAAACUAGGAUUAGAUACCCUAUUAUUUAAAAAAUAAUAAUAUUUUAUCAAAGUAGUAAAAGAUAAAUUCUUAAAACUUAAAGAAUUUGGCGGUAUUUUAGUCUAUUUAGAGGAACUUGUUUAAUAAAUGAUAAUCCACAAUUUACCUUACUUAGCUUUAUUAAAUUUGUAUAUCGUUGUCAUAAGAAUAUUUUAUUAGAAUAAUAAUUUUCUUAAUUUUUUAUUAAUAAAAAUGUCAAAUCAAGGUGCAGUUUAUAGCUAAGAAUAUAAUGAGUUACAAUAAAUAUUAAUUAUGUUGGAAGAUUUAUUAAAAAUUAUGAAUUUAAAAUUGGAUUUAAUAGUAAAUUAAUUAAAGAAAAAUUUUUUGAUUUUAGCUCUAAAAUAUGCACACAUCGUCCGUCGCUCUCAUUAUUUAAAUUAAAUGAGAUAAGUCGUAACAUAGUAGGCAUACUGGAAAGUAUUUCUAGAAUUA
rnacentral:ncRNA from 1 species